GAUGAACGCUAGCGGCAGGCCUAACACAUGCAAGUCGAGGGAGAAGCCCUUUCGGGGGCAGAAACCGGCGCACGGGUGCGUAACGCGUAUGCAACCUACCUUUCACAGGGGGAUAGCCCGAAGAAAUUUGGAUUAAUACCCCAUAAUAUUGUUGGAUGGCAUCAUUUGGCAAUUAAAACUGCGGUGGUGAAAGAUGGGCAUGCGUCCUAUUAGCUAGUUGGAGUGGUAACGGCACCCCAAGGCUACGAUAGGUAGGGGUCCUGAGAGGGAGAUCCCCCACACUGGUACUGAGACAGGGACCAGACUCCUACGGGAGGCAGCAGUGAGGAAUAUUGGUCAAUGGUCGGAAGACUGAACCAGCCAUGCCGCGUGCAGGAAGAAUGCCUUAUGGGUUGUAAACUGCUUUUAUAUGGGAAGAAUAAGGCGUACGUGUACGUUGAUGACGGUACCAGAUGAAUAAGCAUCGGCUAACUCCGUG
rnacentral:rRNA from 1 species